GACCAGACUCCUACGGGAGGCAGCAGUGGGGAAUAUUGCACAAUGGGGGAAACCCUGAUGCAGCGACGCCGCGUGAGCGAUGAAGUAUUUCGGUAUGUAAAGCUCUAUCAGCAGGGAAGAAAAUGACGGUACCUGACUAAGAAGCCCCGGCUAACUACGUGCCAGCAGCCGCGGUAAUACGUAGGGGGCAAGCGUUAUCCGGAUUUACUGGGUGUAAAGGGAGCGUAGACGGCUGUGCAAGCCAGAUGUGAAAGCCCGGGGCUCAACCCCGGGACUGCAUUUGGAACUGUGUAGCUGGAGUGUCGGAGAGGCAGGCGGAAUUCCUAGUGUAGCGGUGAAAUGCGUAGAUAUUAGGAGGAACACCAGUGGCGAAGGCGGCCUGCUGGACGAUGACUGACGUUGAGGCUCGAAAGCGUGGGGAGCAAACAGGAUUAGAUACCCGGGUAC
rnacentral:rRNA from 1 species